AACGAACGCUGGCGGCAGGCCUAACACAUGCAAGUCGAGCGAGGACUUCGGUCCUAGCGGCGGACGGGGGUGUAACGCGUGGGAACGUGCCCUUUGCUUCGGAAUAGCACUGGGAAACUGGGAGUAAUACCGGAUGAGCCCUUUUGGGGCAAGAUUUAUCGUCGAAGUAUCGGCGCGCGUUGGCUUAGGUAGUUGGUGUGGUAAUGGCCUACCAAGCCGACGAUCCUUAGCUGGUUUGAGAGGAUGAGCAGCCACACUGGGACUGAGACACGGCCCAGAAUCCUACGGGAGGGAGGAGUGGGGAAUCUUAGACAAUGGGGGAAACCCAGAUCUAGCCAGGCCGCGAGAGCGAUGUAGGCCUGAGGGUUGUAAAGCUCUUUCAGAUGGGAAGAUAAUGACGGUACCAGAAGAAGAAGCCCCGGCUAACUCCGUG
rnacentral:rRNA from 1 species